rnacentral:rRNA from 1 species
AGUGAACGCUGGCGGUAGGCCUAACGCAUGCAAGUCGAACGGCAGCACAGUAAGAGCUUGCUCUUACGGGUGGCGAGUGGCGGACGGGUGAGGAAUACAUCGGAAUCUACUUUUUCGUGGGGGAUAACGUAGUGAAACUUACGCUAAUACCGCAUACGACCUACGGGUGAAAGCAGGGGAUCUUCGGACCUUGCGCGAUUGAAUGAGCCGAUGUCGGAUUAGCUAGUUGGGGGGGUAAAGGCCCACCAAGGCGACGAUCCGUAGCUGGUCUGAGAGGAUGAUCAGCCACACUGGAACGGAGACACGGUCCAGACUCCUACGGGAGGCAGCAGUGGGGAAUAUUGGACAAUGGGCGCAAGCCUGAUCCAGCCAUACCGCGUGGGUGAAGAAGGCCUUCGGGUUGUAAAGCCCUUUUGUUGGGAAAGAAAAGCAGCAGGUUAAUACCCCGCUGUUCUGACGGUACCCAAAGAAUAAGCACCGGCUAACUUCGUG